rfam:Schistosoma mansoni strain Puerto Rico chromosome 7, complete genome
GCACUGCUGAAGAGUCCCACGAUGGGACGAAACAGCUGUCCAGUGC